CGUUGUUCCCCUUUGGUAAGGGACGAUGAUGGUGAGAACCUGGUGUCAGCCAAGAUGAAACCCCCAGACGUGUUUUUACAGAAAACCCUGUAAAUCGCUGCGCGAUCGCGUUAUCUACAGAGUGUUUUAGAAAUUGUACGCAACUUCUGACACGCAAGCCGCAGCGACGGUUAGAUGAACAAGCACUGCACACGCGCCCUUGGCACCGUGCCGGCUGAGACUCUUCCAUAAUGUAUGAAUUAAAAGGAAUCUACAAAAUCUCCUGAAACCGCUGCAGGAGCCCUCGGAUGUGAUGACACACGUGAUGAGAGAUGUGUGCCUCACCACCCACGCCCUGCGGCCUCGCCGCUGGCGUGCCUGAUUUUAUUUAUUUAUUUAUUUAUUUAUUUAUUUUUUAAAAGGCAUUCCAUCCCCUUACUUCCCGUGAAGUCAUCUGGCUCAGGGAGGUGGGGAUUUCCCCCUAAAUCCUUGAAUUACAACUAAUUGGUGAGAAAUCUGGGUGGGGGCUGGAUAUGAUAAAUAGCCUGAUAGAGGAGUGGGACAGCUGCUGUGCAGGUUGCUUUUUCCAAAGCCUGAACAUUGUAGCCUCGGUGCCCUGAGGAGCUGACAGCAUUAUCUGAUAAACUCCUGCUGCCCGAGCUGCUGGCAGCAUCUGCUUUUCUGGAAACUCUUUGCCUCUGGCUAUGCGCUUAACCAGGUGAGGUGUCACCUAAGGAAUUUUGCCUGUUCACCUCUGUAAGGAUUUUCCUCCGCCGUCCUUCCGUUCCCUCCUGCGAGCACAAAGGCACUAGAAGGCAUUGACGGCUGCCUCACGUCCUGACUUGUCCUGCCGAGAGUCGGGGUUUGCAGCUUGUGCCGUGCAGCCCGAGCGCUCCUCGGCAGCACGCGGAGCCGGUCUGAACCGCGAUGGGCACCCAGGUUUGGGCACUGAGGAGCCCAGCGCCUGGAGAGCAUCACCCAUGGGUAGGGCUGAGCUGCCAGUCCCCUUAGACUCAGAAGCAACUAGAGUUUUCUGCUCUGCAGUCGUGAGUUUUCCAGCGUGUGUGGCCCCGGAGAGACUUUUUCCUCAACCUUCCACCCAGCCAGCGGUCCUGGAAGCACCUGAACAGGGCGGCUUUCAGUUUGCUUUCCCAGCCUUGUCUUCGCUCCUGCGAUGCUGGGACUCCCCUUCCCCUGGUGCACAGAGAGGAGGAAGAGGAGGAGAUUUUCCAGCUCUGCUCCUUCCAUUUCCCACCUGGGGCAAAGGGAGAGGGCUGUCGGCAGCAGCCCAGACCCUGCUGGGAAGGGGCAUUUCACCUCCUGACCAGCUCGGAGGAGGUGUUUGAUGCCCCCCAUGGCACCACUGUCCCCUCCCGCACGGAUUGGGCUGGGUCUCUAGCACCCAGACCUAUGCCCCACAAGCUGCGGGGACUCAAUACCUUCAAGGCUAACUAAAAUCACAUUGAAGAGCAAUCUCUCUCUUUUUUUUUUUUUUUUCUCCUGCCUUUGACAUUUUCCUGCGGUUCAGUAUCUUGCUAUUUAUAACAAAACCUUGCCUUGCCCUGCUGGAAGCCCAAGUGUUUGUAAACAUGAAAAUCAUGAAGUGAAACCAGCCAGGAAGCAACUACAGAGAAGAUGGACUAGCUUGCUCCAACUGCUAGCAGAAUAUAUUAGAAAAAGGGAAAUUUCUGUAUUAUAGGCUUUGGCUGGUGUAGUCUAAAAUGAUCUCGUCACCAGGGAUGAGAUGUGAAAGCAGCUGCUGCUUUGAGUUGAAGUGUUUCUUGGGCUGGUUUAUGUUACUAGGAAUCCAGCGUAGAUGUUCUAGUAAGGAAAAUAAAAUCCUGAGCAACUCGUGUGAAGUUA